rnacentral:rRNA from 1 species
UACAGAGGUCUCAAGCGUUGUUCGGAUUCAUUGGGCGUAAAGGGUGCGUAGGCGGCGCGGUAAGUCGGAUGUGAAAUCUCGGAGCUUAACUCCGAAACUGCAUUCGAUACUGCCGUGCUUGGGGACUGGAGAGGAGACUGGAAUUUACGGUGUAGCGGUGAAAUGCGUAGAUAUCGUAAGGAAGACCAGUGGCGAAGGCGGGUCUCUGGACAGUUCCUGACGCUGAGGCACGAAGGUCAGGGGAGCAAACGGG